rnacentral:rRNA from 1 species
UACGUAGGGUGCGAGCGUUGUCCGGAAUUACUGGGCGUAAAGAGCUCGUAGGUGGUUUGUCGCGUCGUCUGUGAAAUUCCGGGGCUUAACUUCGGGCGUGCAGGCGAUACGGGCAAUACUUGAGUACUGUAGGGGAGACUGGAAUUCCUGGUGUAGGGGUGAAAUGCGCAGAUAUCAGGAGGAACACUGGUGGCGAAGGCGGGUCUCUGGGCAGUAACUGACGCUGAGGAGCGAAAGCAUGGGUAGCGAACAGGAUUAGAUACCCCCGUAGU